rnacentral:rRNA from 1 species
UGGCUGUCGUCAGCUCGUGUUGUGAAAUGUUGGGUUAAGUCCCGCAACGAGCGCAACCCUUAUCCUUUGUUGCCAGCGGUCCGGCCGGGAACUCAAAGGAGACUGCCAGUGAUAAACUGGAGGAAGGUGGGGAUGACGUCAAGUCAUCAUGGCCCUUACGACCAGGGCUACACACGUGCUACAAUGGCGCAUACAAAGAGAAGCGACCUCGCGAGAGCAAGCGGACCUCAUAAAGUGCGUCGUAGUCCGGAUUGGAGUCUGCAACUCGACUCCAUGAAGUCGGAAUCGCUAGUAAUCGUGGAUCAGAAUGCCACGGUGAAUACGUUCCCGGGCCUUGUACACACCGCCCGUCACACCAUGGGAGUGGGUUGCAAAAGAAGUAGGUAGCUUAACCUUCGGGAGGGCGCUUACCACUUUGUGAUUCAUGACUGGGGUGAAGUCGUAACAAGGUAACCGUAGGGGAACCUGCGGUUGGAUCACCUCCUU